UUAAGUACUCUGACGUGGUGAUGUUGACCUCGAAGUACUGCCGGAGGUCAUUGAAGUCUCACAAGCUCCUUCCUUUGUAUAUUAUGUGACACGCUGGUUACGCUGGGGUGGAGGCGAGGUCACUUGUAACAUGCAGCAGAGGCCGGGGUUCGAACCGGGGCCGGGCGGCUACGGGGCUUGUAGGUGAGGGCGGGGUUCGAACCGGGGACAACAGUUACGUGGGCGGCUACGGGGCUUGUAGGUGAGGGCGGGGUUCGAACCGGGGCCAACAGUUACGUGGGCGGCUACGGGGCUUGUAGGUGAGGGCGGGAUUCGAACCGGGGCCAACAGUUACGUGGGCGGCUACGGGGCUUGUAGGUGAGGGCGGGAUUCGAACCGGGGCCAACAGUUACGUGGGCGGCUACGGGGCUUGUAGGUGAGGGCGGGAUUCGAACCGGGGCCAACAGUUACAUGGGCGGCUACGGGGCUUGUAGGUGAGGGCGGGAUUCGAACCGGGGCCAACAGUUACGUGGGCGGCUACGGGGCUUGUAGAUGAGGGCGGGAUUCGAACCGGGGACAACAGUUACGUGGGCGGCUACGGGGCUUGUAGGUGAGGGCGGGAUUCGAACCGGGUCCAGCAGUUACGUGGGCGGCUACGGGGCUUGUAGGUGAGGGCGGGUUUCGAACCGGGGCCAACAGUUACGUGGGCGGCUACGGGGCUUGUAGGUGAGGGCGGGAUUCGAACCGGGGCCAACAGUUACGUGGGCGGCUACGGGGCUUGUAGAUGAGGGCGGGAUUCGAACCGGGGACAACAGUUACGUGGGCGGGGGCGGCGCUUGUUAAGACUCCCCGCCGAUAUAACACACUUCUAACAUGCAGCAGAGGGCGGGUAUCGAACUGGGACCCGGAAGAUACAUAGUCGGGGGCCGUAACACAAACACUUGACCUACGGUGCAUGGGAAUCGAACCCAGACCAGCAGAUUCAGGGGCAGCGGGUGUUGGCGAAGAGGUCCCGCGGCCACCACUGAACAGCGGCCUGACGGAGACUGUUACCGAACGAGGUGGAGGUUUGUGUUAAACUGAGGUACUGGUGAAGAGCUCCCGCGAUCAACACACUGAACAGCGGCCUGACGGAGACUGUUACCGAACGAGGUGGAGGUUUGUGUUAAACUGAGGUACUGGUGAAGAGCUCCCGCGGCCAACAUACUGAACAGCGGCCUGACGGAGACUGUUACCGAACGAGGUGGAGGUUUGUGUUAAACUGAGGUACUGGUGAAGAGCUCCCGCGAUCAACACACUGAACAGCGGCCUGACGGAGACUGUUACCGAACGAGGUGGAGGUUUGUGUUAAACUGAGGUACUGGUGAAGAGCUCCCGCGAUCAACACACUGAACAGCGGCUUGACGGAGACUACUGCCGGACGACGUGGAGGUUUGUGUUAAACUGAGGUACUGGACUACUG